AUGAACGCUGGCGGCGUGCCUAAUCCAUGCCAGUCGAGCGAACAGACGAGGAGCUUGCUCCUCUGACGUUAGCGGCGGACGGGUGAGUAACACGUGGAUAACCUACCUAUAAGACUGGGAUAACUUCGGGAAACCGGAGCUAAUACCGGAUAAUAUAUUGAACCGCAUGGUUCAAUAGCGAAAGACGGUUUUGCUGUCACUUAUAGAUGGAUCCGCGCCGCAUUAGCUAGUUGGUAAGGUAACGGCUUACCAAGGCAACGAUGCGUAGCCGACCUGAGAGGGUGAUCGGCCACACUGGAACUGAGACACGGUCCAGACUCCUACGGGAGGCAGCAGUAGGGAAUCUUCCGCAAUGGGCGAAAGCCUGACGGAGCAACGCCGCGUGAGUGAUGAAGGUCUUCGGAUCGUAAAACUCUGUUAUUAGGGAAGAACAAAUGUGUAAGUAACUAUGCACGUCUUGACGGUACCUAAUCAGAAAGCCACGGCUAACUACGUG
rnacentral:rRNA from 1 species